ensembl:snRNA U6 U6 spliceosomal RNA
GUACUCACUUAGGCAGCACUUAUACUAAAAUUGGAACGAUACAGAGAAGAUUAGCAUGGCCCCUGCACAAGGAUGCCACACAAAUUCCUGAAGUGUUCCAUAUUUUU